AACGAACGCUGGCGGCAUGCCUAACACAUGCAAGUCGAACGAGACCUUCGGGUCCAGUGGCGUACGGGUGCGUAACGCGUGGGAAACUGCCCUUAGGUUCGGAAUAACUCCCCGAAAGGGGUGCUAAUACCGGAUAAUGUCUUCGGACCAAAGAUUUAUCGCCUUUGGAUGGGCCCGCGUUGGAUUAGCUAGUUGGUAGGGUAAAAGCCUACCAAGGCGACGAUCCAUAGCUGGUCUGAGAGGAUGAUCAGCCACACUGGAACUGAGACACGGCCCAGACUCCUACGGGAGGCAGCAGUGGGGAAUAUUGGACAAUGGGCGAAAGCCUGAUCCAGCAAUGCCGCGUGAGUGAUGAAGGCCUUAGGGUUGUAAAGCUCUUUUACCCGGGAUGAUAAUGACAGUACCGGGAGAAUAAGCUCCGGCUAACUCCGUG
rnacentral:rRNA from 1 species